GCCGACUUAGCUCAGCAGGCAGAGCACUUCCAUGGUAAGGAAGGGGUCGCCGGUUCGAUUCCGGCAGUCGGCUCCA
rnacentral:tRNA from 5 species